rnacentral:rRNA from 1 species
UACGGAGGGUGCGAGCGUUGUCCGGAAUCACUGGGCGUAAAGGGCGCGUAGGCGGCUCAUGAAGGCUGUGGUGAAAGUCCGGGGCUCAACCUCGGAUCGGCCGUGGCGACUCGUGGGCUGGAGCACUGUAGAGGCGGGUGGAAUUCCGGGUGUAGCGGUGGAAUGCGCAGAUAUCAGGAGGAACACCGAUGGCGAAGGCAGCUCGCUGGGACGGUACUGACGCUGAGGCGCGAAAGCGUGGGGAGCGAACAGG